GACGAACGCUGGCGGCGUGCUUAACACAUGCAAGUCGAACGGAAAGGCCUCUUUCGGGGGGUACUCGAGUGGCGAACGGGUGAGUAACACGUGAGUAACCUGCCCUUGACUUUGGGAUAACUUCAGGAAACUGGGGCUAAUACCGGAUAGGAGAUCCUGUUGCAUGGGGGGGGUUGGAAAGUUUCGGCGGUUGGGGAUGGACUCGCGGCUUAUCAGCUUGUUGGGGGGGUAGUGGCUUACCAAGGCUUUGACGGGUAGCCGGCCUGGGAGGGGGACCGGCCACAUUGGGACUGGGAUACGGCCCAGACUCCUACGGGAGGCAGCAGUGGGGAAUAUUGCACAAUGGGUGGAAGCCUGAUGCAGCAACGCCGUGUGCGGGAUGACGGCCUUCGGGUUGUAAACCGCUUUCGCUCAUGACGAAGCUUUGUGUGACGGUAGUGGGUAAAGAAGCACCGGCUAACUACGUG
rnacentral:rRNA from 1 species